GAUGAACGCUGGCGGCGUGCCUAAUACAUGCAAGUCGAGCGAACGGACGAGAAGCUUGCUUCUCUGAUGUUAGCGGCGGACGGGUGAGUAACGCGUGGAUAACCUACCCAUAAGACUGGGAUAACUUCGGGAAACCGGGGCUAAUACCGGAUAAUAUUUUGAACCGCAUGGUUCAAAAGUGAAAGACGGUCUUGCUGUCACUUAUGGAUGGAUCCGCGCUGCAUUAGCUAGUUGGUAAGGUAACGGCUUACCAAGGCAACGAUGCAUAGCCGACCUGAGAGGGUGAUCGGCCACACUGGAACUGAGACACGGUCCAGACUCCUACGGGAGGCAGCAGUAGGGAAUCUUCCGCAAUGGGCGAAAGCCUGACGGAGCAACGCCGCGUGAGUGAUGAAGGUCUUCGGAUCGUAAAACUCUGUUAUUAGGGAAGAACAUAUGUGUAAGUAACUGUGCACAUCUUGACGGUACCUAAUCAGAAAGCCACGGCUAACUACGUGCCAGCAGCCGCGGUAAUACGUAGGUGGCAAGCGUUAUCCGGAAUUAUUGGGCGUAAAGCGCGCGUAGGCGGUUUUUUAAGUCUGAUGUGAAAGCCCACGGCUCAACCGUGGAGGGUCAUUGGAAACUGGAAAACUUGAGUGCAGAAGAGGAAAGUGGAAUUCCAUGUGUAGCGGUGAAAUGCGCAGAGAUAUGGAGGAACACCAGUGGCGAAGGCGACUUUCUGGUCUGUAACUGACGCUGAUGUGCGAAAGCGUGGGGAUCAAACAGGAUUAGAUACCCUGGUAGUCCACGCCGUAAACGAUGAGUGCUAAGUGUUAGGGGGUUUCCGCCCCUUAGUGCUGCAGCUAACGCAUUAAGCACUCCGCCUGGGGAGUACGACCGCAAGGUUGAAACUCAAAGGAAUUGACGGGGACCCGCACAAGCGGUGGAGCAUGUGGUUUAAUUCGAAGCAACGCGAAGAACCUUACCAAAUCUUGACAUCCUUUGACAACUCUAGAGAUAGAGCCUUCCCCUUCGGGGGACAAAGUGACAGGUGGUGCAUGGUUGUCGUCAGCUCGUGUCGUGAGAUGUUGGGUUAAGUCCCGCAACGAGCGCAACCCUUAAGCUUAGUUGCCAUCAUUAAGUUGGGCACUCUAAGUUGACUGCCGGUGACAAACCGGAGGAAGGUGGGGAUGACGUCAAAUCAUCAUGCCCCUUAUGAUUUGGGCUACACACGUGCUACAAUGGACAAUACAAAGGGCAGCGAAACCGCGAGGUCAAGCAAAUCCCAUAAAGUUGUUCUCAGUUCGGAUUGUAGUCUGCAACUCGACUACAUGAAGCUGGAAUCGCUAGUAAUCGUAGAUCAGCAUGCUACGGUGAAUACGUUCCCGGGUCU
rnacentral:rRNA from 1 species